rnacentral:lncRNA from 1 species
UCCCACGGAAGUCGGGCUCCAUCCUCAACCUCGACUGCUGGUGAGCUUCGAUCGGACUCCUACGGGAGCCGGACUUCGUCUCUGACUUUCAUUGCGGGUAAACUCUGUCCGAACUCCCACGGGAGCCAGACCUCGCCCCGACUCCACCUAGGAGAGCCAGACUCCCACAGCCCCACCAAGAGCGGAGGGAGAAAUCCCGCUCGAAAAAGAAAAGGGGAGAGGAGUUAAAAAGGAAAGCGAUGGAUUAUGUCAGCAA